rnacentral:rRNA from 1 species
UGGGGAAUUUUGGACAAUGGGCGAAAGCCUGAUCCAGCCAUGCCGCGUGAGUGAAGAAGGCCUUCGGGUUGUAAAGCUCUUUUAGUCGGAAAGAAAGAGUCGCAAUGAAUAAUUGUGAUUUAUGACGGUACCGACAGAAAAAGCACCGGCUAACUACGUGCCAGCAGCCGCGGUAAUACGUAGGGUGCGAGCGUUAAUCGGAAUUACUGGGCGUAAAGGGUGCGCAGGCGGUUUUGCAAGUCAGAUGUGAAAGCCCCGGGCAUAACCUGGGAAUUGCGUUUGAAAACUCAAGGCUAGAGUGCAGCAGAGGGGAUGGAAUUCCGAUGUGUAGCAGUGAAAUGCGUAGAGAUGUGGAAGAACACCGAUGGCGAAGGCAGCUCCCUGGGUUGACACUGACGCUCA